rnacentral:lncRNA from 1 species
UCGUUGCACCACUGGGCGUCCCGACGACCCAACAUUGGCCACUCAAGGUUUCAUAAUUUCGUGAAGGAGUAUAGAAGAGAAUUUUCUCCUAAUUUAUUAAGUUUUGUUGAAACUCGUGGCAGUGGGCAUAGGGCUGAUGUAAUUAUUGGGAAGCUAGGCUUUCAAAAUUCUUUUAGAAUAGAAGCAGUGGGUUUUGUUGGGGGUAUUUGGCUUUUUUCGAAAUGAUAAUAUUAAUGUAGAGAUUAUCCAGGUUCAUCCUCAAAUGGUUCAUA